UAAUACCUGAUAAGCCCACGAUCUCUUCGGAGAAUGCGGGAAAAGGGGGGGACCUUCGGGCCUUCUGUCAUCAGAUGAGUCUACGUACCAUUAGCUAGUUGGUGGGGUAAAGGCCCACCAAGGCUACGAUGGUUAGCUGGUCAGAGAGGAUGAUCAGCCACACUGGAACUGAGACACGGUCCAGACUCCUACGGGAGGCAGCAGUGGGGAAUUUUGCGCAAUGGGGGAAACCCUGACGCAGCAACGCCGCGUGAGUGAUGAAGGCCUUCGGGUCGUAAAGCUCUGUCAGAGGGAAAGAAAUGUGGGGCGCUAAUACCGCUUCCACUUGACGGUACCCUCAAAGGAAGCACCGGCUAACUCCGUGCCAGCAGCCGCGGUAAUACGGAGGGUGCGAGCGUUGUUCGGAAUUAUUGGGCGUAAAGCGCGUGUAGGCGGUUUUAUAAGUCUGAUGUGAAAGCCCUGGGCUCAACCUGGGAAGUGCAUUGGAUACUGUAAGACUUGAGUACGGGAGAGGGCAGUGGAAUUCCUAGUGUAGGAGUGAAAUCCGUAGAUAUUAGGAGGAACACCGGUGGCGAAGGCGGCUGCCUGGACCGAUACUGACGCUGAGACGCGAAAGCGUGGGUAGCAAACAGGAUUAGAUACCCUGGUAGUCCACGCCGUAAACGAUGAGUACUAGGUGUCGCGGGUA
rnacentral:rRNA from 1 species